rnacentral:snRNA from 1 species
AUACUUACCUGGCUGGGGAGAUACCAUGAUAAUAAAGUGUUUUUCUCAGUGCGUAAGUGAGGCUUAUCUAUUGCACUCAUAUGUGCUGACUCCAAGUUUCCCCAAAUCUGGGAAACUUCAUUGCAUAAUUUGUGGUACUGGGGUACUGCUUUC